CGUGCCCCUCUUGCUGGGAGUUUAGGGCCAUUUUUGUUACUGCGGGACGCUAAGAAGCAAAACUGUACGCGAGACGUGUACUCAGUAGGGGGUGUCUAGGGGCCUAGCUCUCAUCUGCCCUCCCCACCACAGGGCCUUUGCACAGGUUGGGCGUCCUGGCCUUGUGCAGACGACCCCAGCAUGGCUAAUGUUUCUCAACAGGUCUGACUUUCAGUCUGUUGCUACAGUGUUUCUCCCCGAAGCACACCCCCACCCUCCCGCGGGCUGCGCUUGUCACAGAGCAUGUUGUCUUUUGACCGCAUCAGAAUGCAAGUUCUCUGAGAGCCAGGGCUCCACAAAUACAGGAAAUUGAAAACAAGUUGUUUGGAACUGGAACAAAAAUGUUUUCAGAUACACAGUAAAAAAUUUGGAGUUCAGAAGGGUGUUGGGUGAAAACUUGGCAUCCUUCCCUCCCCUGAUGUCCACGGCCUCGCUCCCCUCUCCUGGGGCAGUUUCUCCUGUGUCAACAAAGAAAAUCUAUGCAUAUACAUCUAAUGUGUUUAUACAAAACUUCGCUCCCUUUACAUGUGAUACCGUUUUAGUCAGCGUAGGCGGGAGAGCGGGAGUGCUCUCCGUCUUCUGACGUGCAGAUCUGGGUCAUUCAUUCUAAUUGCUGCACCAUAUUGUAUUAAUACUAGGUUGAUUGUUUCCUGUGGGUAGGAAUUUAGGGUCUUUCUAGUCUUUUUGUAACAAGCAAUACUAGAUUGAUUAUCCUUGUACAAAUGUCUUUGUAUCCAAGUAGGAAUGUUUCUGUUGGCUAAAUUCUUUAGUGCAGGAGGAUAGGUCAAAGGACUUUUCAUAGGUCUCUAAAUGUGUGCGUGAUCUCUUUAACAGGUCAUUCCAAAUUGCCUCCCACCAAGGAAGGAGGGGCCUAGUCCUCCACCCCUGAGGCUUGAUUUUGCAGAUCUGCCUCUGCCGGCCUCGAUGUCCUCAUCUGUGAAAUGGGAGUGACAACUCGAAGGGACUUAGAAGAGGAACCAAACAAGGCAGAGGUCCGAGAUCCUGAUUACGGCUGGGAGGCACUUCUCGUUCGGGGCCAUGCAGCCUGCUGGCGACGACCAGGUGGCAGCCCUGGCCUGUCUGCUCACAGACUCUGCUGGUGGAAGGAAGGCGCGUCCUCAGCGGUCACCGCAGUGGCCCUGAGUGCAGCCCCUGCCACAGCGGCUAGAGGCCCAAGGAGGAUGCUUCCCCAUGCCCCCCUUCCUUCACUCUGCAGGCCUGUGCCCACCCACCUGUGCCCCUUCCUGACUCGCAGCUACCCUGCCCUACACCUUGAGCCCCUUGAAGGCACGUUGCUGGGGGGCUCGCUCUGGCCACAGUAAACAUCCCUGGAAGCAACAAAUGGGUCCUGGCCUCUUUCUCAUCCUGCCCCUGCCCCUGCCCUGGUGCCCGAUGUAAGCUGGGGGGAGGGGAGCCUCCGACGGGCUGCUUGCCUUGUCUGAACUGGGGAGAACCUCUUCUGUGUGGACUGGGCAGCGGGCACCUAGGGCCCCUGAGGGCUGCUGAGAUGCUGGGGGACG
ensembl:lncRNA